rnacentral:rRNA from 1 species
AGUGAACGCUGGCGGCGUGCUUAACACAUGCAAGUCGAACGAGAACGGAUUAUAGCUUGCUAUAAUUGUCAGCUAAGUGGCGCACGGGUGAGUAAUGUAUAGAUAACCUGCCCUUAAGAGAGGAAUAACAGUUGGAAACGACUGCUAAUGCCCUAUAUGCCUUUAAUACAUAAGUAUGCAAGGGAAACGCUUUAGUGCUUAAGGAUGGGUCUGUAUGGUAUCAGUUAGUUGGUGAGGUAAUGGCUCACCAAGACAAUGACGCCUAACUGGUUUGAGAGGAUGAUCAGUCACACCGGAACUGAGACACGGUCCAGACUCCUACGGGAGGCAGCAGUGGGGAAUAUUGCACAAUGGACGAAAGUCUGAUGCAGCAACGCCGCGUGGAGGAUGACACAUUUCGGUGCGUAAACUCCUUUUAUAUAGGAAGAUAAUGACGGUACUAUAUGAAUAAGCACCGGCUAACUCCGUGCCAGCAGCCGCCGUAA